GACGAACGCUGGCGGCGUGCUUAACACAUGCAAGUCGAACGGAAAGGCCCUGCUUGUGUGGGGGGCUCGAGUGGCAAACGGGUGAGUAACACGUGUGUCACCUGCCCUUCACUUUGGUAUAACUUGGGAAAACUGGCGCUAAUACCAUAUAGGAACUCCCGCUGCAGGGUGGGGGUGGGAAGGGUUCGGCGGUUGGGGAUGGACUCCCGGCUUAUCAGCUUGUUGGUGGGGUAGUGGCUUACCAAGGCUGUGACGGGUAGCCGGCCUGAGAGGGUGACCGGCCACAUUGGGACUGAGAUACGGCCCAGACUCCUACGGGAGGCAGCAGUGGGGAAUAUUGCACAAUGGGCGGAAGCCUGAUGCAGCAACGCCGCGUGCGGGAUGACGGCCUUCGGGUUGUAAACCUCUGUCGGCUGUGACGAAGCGUGAGUGACGGUAAUGGGUAAAGAAGCACCGGCUAACUACGUG
rnacentral:rRNA from 1 species